rnacentral:siRNA from 1 species
AGAAAGCCGUAGCAAACCACCAC